rnacentral:rRNA from 1 species
UACAGAGGGUGCGAGCGUUAAUCGGAAUUACUGGGCGUAAAGCGCGCGUAGGCGGCUUUGCAAGUCGGGUGUGAAAUCCCCAGGCUUAACCUGGGAACUGCAUUCGAGACUGCAUUGCUAGAGUAUGGGAGAGGGAAGUGGAAUUUCCGGUGUAGCGGUGAAAUGCGUAGAUAUCGGAAGGAACAUCAGUGGCGGAAGCGACUUCCUGGACCAAUACUGACGCUCAUGUGCGAAAGCCAGGGGAGCAAACGGG